AGACGAGGAGGAAGAACAACCAGCAUCCAAUCACUGUCGUAUAGAUUUGCAGGCCUUCCGUUCAAGUACUAUGCGGCUUGGUUCUGCUUCUUGAGACUGCAAUCGGCAUCGCCGUCAAGGAGUCAAUUCCGACGAAGUGAUUCGUUUCAAAUCAAUUCUUCGCUGCAAUCGCCUGGAAUGGAAGCUGACGGGGCCGAGAAUCUGUGAUUGAUCCAAAGAACCACUGCCAGAUAUGAUUCUGCUCUCCCUUCCUACGGAGCUCCUCGAGUGGAACCUUUUACCUCAGAAAUCUCAUGAAACCGGCCUGGAGCAUUGAUUCCCCAUAACGAAACGAAUAGACUAGCUUUAUCUCUCAAUCGAAGCUCGGACGGUGAAGCCGUGAAAGUACUGGGUCGAAGAAAGGGUGAAGAGCCGGGUGACUAGGGGACUGGAGUCAUCGAUCGAGAUAAAAGGGUGAAGAAGAAAGGGUGGGAUUGGACUGAAUCUGGAAGAAAGGGGGGCAAACAAAAAGGAGUUGGGCUUCGGCCCGUGUCUGGUUUGGGUUUCAGCCUGACUCUGGGCUGGGCUUGGCCCGAGUCUUGGUUGAACCCGGAAUCGCAGAGUCAGUCCGAUUCUGUGAUUCCACGAUUCUUGGCCCAAUUCACCACCGAUUCUAGGUAUUCCGACUUAGCCCUUAGAAUCGGAAUCGGUUCCCCCCUCCAAAUAUUAGAAUCAUACGAUUCUACGAUUUGAAUCAUGAUUCUGACAACCAUGCUCGAAAUAAUAUGUGAAGCAUUAAAUGAGAAAGGAUAUUAGACUAUUAGUAAUCGCACAAGGCACCGGCUUGGAAUUAAGGGAUCAUGAGUUCAAUUCUCAUCAGCUAGAUUUAUGUGAUCUCUAUUUUAGUUCAUGCACUUUCUUUGUAUUAGACAUACAUGCCUUCUUUAUUGCAAAAGAAAAAAGAAAAACAUGUGAAGCAAUUAAUCAA